rnacentral:rRNA from 1 species
AUUGAACGCUGGCGGCAAGCCUAACACAUGCAAGUCGAACGAGUGGCGGACGGGUGAGUAAUGUCUGGGAAACUGCCUGAUGGAGGGGGAUAACUACUGGAAACGGUAGCUAAUAACGCAUACCAUCGGAUGUGCCCAGAUGGGAUUAGCUAGUGGGUGGGGUAAAGGCUCACCUAGGCGACGCUCCCUAGCUGGUCUGAGAGGAUGACCAGCCACACUGGAACUGAGACACGGUCCAGACUCCUACGGGAGGCAGCAGUGGGGAAUAUUACACAAUGGGCGCAAGCCUGAUGCAGCCAUGCCGCGUGUGUGAAGAAGGCCUUCGGGUUGUAAAGUACUGUCAGCGGGGAAGCGUUAACCGAAGAAAAAGCACCGGCUAACUCCGUGCCAGCAGCCGCGGUAAUAG